AGGGAUUGCCCUAGUAACGGCGAGUGAAGCGGCAACAGCUCAAAUUUGAAAUCUGGCCCUCGGGUCCGAGUUGUAAUUUGUAGAGGAUGCUUUUGGUGCGGUGCCUUCCGAGUUCCUUGGAACAGGACGCCUUAGAGGGUGAGAGCCCCGUACGGUUGGACACCAAGCCUCUGUAAAGCUCCUUCGACGAGUCGAGUAGUUUGGGAAUGCUGCUCUAAAUGGGAGGUAAAUUUCUUCUAAAGCUAAAUACUGGCCAGAGACCGAUAGCGCACAAGUAGAGUGAUCGAAAGAUGAAAAGUACUUUGAAAAGAGGGUUAAAUAGCACGUGAAAUUGUUGAAAGGGAAGCGUUUAUGACCAGACCUUUUCCGGGCGGAUCAUCCGGUGUUCCUCACCGGUGCACUUCGCCCGGAUCAGGCCAGCAUCGGUUUCUGCAGGGGGAUAAAGGCGCCGGGAACGUAGCUCUCUCCGGGGAGUAUUAUAGCCCGGUGCGUAAUACCUUUGCGGGGACCGAGGUUCGCGCUUCGGCAAGGAUGCUGGCAUAAUGGUCAUCAACGACCCGUCUUGAAACACGGACCAAGGAGUCGAACAUUUGUGCGAGUGUUUGGGUGUCAAACCCUCACGCGUAAUGAAAGUGAACGGAGGUGAGAGCCCUUCGCGGGGUGCAUCAUCGACCGAUCCUGAUGUCUUCGGAUGGAUUUGAGUAAGAGCAUAAAUGUCCGGACCCGAAAGAUGGUGAACUAUGCGUGGAUAGGGUGAAGCCAGAGGAAACUCUGGUGGAGGCUCGCAGCGGUUCUGACGUGCAAAUCGAUCGUCAAAUCUGCGCAUGGGGGCGAAAGACUUAUCGAACCA
rnacentral:rRNA from 1 species